AGGACUCGUGGCCAAGUGGAUGGGGUCUGGAUGAGAGUACAACCAAAUGUGCUUUGAGUUUAUGUUAUUUAAUGCGUGAUAUCCACGAGCCUCAGUCACUCCAACUUCUUCCUUUCCUUCUAAAACAAACUUUAUUACAGCCUUAAAUCUAUUCUUUGAACAAUUUGUAAUUAUUUGUACUUGCUUACAGACAUGUGUUUUUUUUUAAUUGUUUUUAUUUAAUUUUCAUUUAUCUAAAGUAUUUGUUUUGAUUCAGUUUUAAUGUUAUUGCCCUUAUGUGUUAUUUGUUCUAAAACUGCAAUUGAAAAAAAAAGAAAAGCUUAUGGGGCUGUCACGUGAUGAACAAACGACUCAAACCAGAGUACUCGAAAGGCUUUGCCUUGCUGUUUGUUCUCACGGAUGUAACAGCAGAGUUUGGGACCACACCAAAUCUUAAACAGAUUGUCAUUGGACGGUGUUUUGAAUAUGUAGCCCUGGCUAAUCUUAACCCCAGGUACAAUUGUGAGAAGAUAUGGCAGGAGUUUGAAAAGGCUGUGGUUAGGAGAUCACCCUGCGAUGUGGGAGUUAAAGAUUACCAAAAAAUGUUCCAGGUCAUCACUCAGACUUUACCAUGUGGCAAGGUGAUUUCAAGCAAGUGUUUUCAAAACAACUCAACAACAGUAUAGAAUGUUUUUAGGAAUAUUUAUUAAAUAUUUAUAUUGAGCAUUAAAAGCUUAAAAUAAAACUGGGCUCAAGAACAGAGUGUGAAUUAACUUUGUAUUUUAAGUAAAAUGUAAAGGAAAAACAACAACAAAGAGCCAUCAUAUAUAAGGAAAAAGAUGUCUUUUUGUUUAUGGGGUUGGUUUGUGUUGUUGUUUUUGCAUUAUGUAUGUAUUAGGGAUGGAAUGGUUUGCAGAAAAAAAAAAAAUCGAUCCAUGUAAAACAAACAGGGUUUGGCUAAUAUACAGUAGGCGGACAACCAAAAUGGGUUGGGCCGUGGCGUUAACUGCAAGUCAGUUGCAUGUUAAAGUUAUUCACGAAACUACCGCCAGGUGGCGCAAAGGC